CGCCUCUUGCACAACCAUAAGAGGUCCAGCCUGCCCAGUGACUCUGUUCAACGGCCGCGGUAUCCUAACCGUGCGAAGGUAGCGCAAUCACUUGUUCUUUAAAUAAGGACUAGUAUGAAUGGCACCACGAAGGUUAUACUGUCUCCUCUUUCUAAUCAGUGAAACUAAUCUUCCCGUGAAGAAGCGGGAAUAACCAUAUAAGACGAGAAGACCCUAUGGAGCUUUAAACUAAGCAACAAAUAUCUCCCCACUUAAAAGACUUAAGAGUAAUUAAAAUUAACCAGAUAUUAUGAUUUCUAGUUUUAGGUUGGGGUGACCAUGGAGUACAAUUUAACCUCCAUGCCGAAUGAUUAUAAAAAUCUAAGCCACGAACAACAAUUCCAAGCAUCAACACUUUGACGUCUAUUGACCCAAUUUUUGAUCAACGAACCAAGUUACCCUAGGGAUAACAGCGCAAUCCACUUCAAGAGUUCAUAUCGACAAGUGGGUUUACGACCUCGAUGUUGGAUCAGGGUAUCCUAGUGGUGCAGCCGCUACUAAAGG
rnacentral:rRNA from 1 species